GGGGUGAAGUCGUAACAAGGUAGCCGUACCGGAAGGUGCGGCUGGAUCACCUCCUAACAGGGAGACAAAAAUUGAUUAUGAAGACUGUUUUCUUUCAGUCCAUAAUCCUGUCACCUUAGGUCGAUCGGUACCUCAGCUUGAUAGCUUAAAAAAUAAUGAUUACUCAUUGCUUAUAUACGCUAUUGAUUUCAGUUCCUAAACUUGUCUAGGUCACACCCAAAAACUUUCUUCUGGGCUAUUAGCUCAGGUGGUUAGAGCGCACCCCUGAUAAGGGUGAGGUCCCUGGUUCAAGUCCAGGAUGGCCCAUUCGUUGUUGGGGGUAUAGCUCAGUUGGUAGAGCGCCUGCUUUGCAAGCAGGAUGUCAGCGGUUCGAGUCCGCUUACCUCCACUGAUCCGCUGCCUAAUAACUCUUUAAAAAUGAAGAUUGUUUUCCGUGUGUGAUUUAGCUGUUGUUCGCUGAAUGAACCUAGCUUCAUAUCAUCCCUUGAAAUUUUCAGAUUAAGGUUGAUAAGACGCUGGGCUCACUGUAGUUCUUAAAAGGAUUACAGAAGAGUUCAGUAGAACCUUGACAACUGCAUAGGUAAGUCUGGAAAGAAUAAAGCAUCUCAUAGAUGUAUUUAUUCUAUUGAUUAAGCUACGAGCUUUUUUUAUAGGAUAAAUAUUCAAUUCUUAAAUAAAGAGCCGAGAUCUAUAGUCUUUUCUUUAUGCUUUUUAUAACUGAAUUAUAUCAGUUUAAUUUUGUAUUAAUGGAAAGAUUUUUUAGAUUAUUAUAUGGUCAAGCUACAA
rnacentral:misc_RNA from 1 species